UACGUAGGUGACAAGCGUUGUCCGGAUUUACUGGGCGUAAAGAGCGCGCAGGCGGUCGAUCAAGUCGAGUGUGAAAGCUCCCGGCUCACCUGGGAGAGGUUCGGCAGUACGGCAGGGCUGGAGGGCGGUAGAGGGUGGUGGAAUUCCCGGUGUAGUGGUGAAAUGCGUAGAGAUCGGGAGGAACACCCGUAGCGAAGGCGGCCACCUGGGCCGACCCUGACGCUGAGGCGCGAAGGCCAGGGGAGCGAACGGG
rnacentral:rRNA from 1 species